rnacentral:rRNA from 1 species
GACGAACGCUGGCGGCGUGCUUAACACAUGCAAGUCGAACGGAAAGGCCCUGCUUUUGUGGGGUGCUCGAGUGGCGAACGGGUGAGUAACACGUGAGUAACCUGCCCUUGACUUUGGGAUAACUUCAGGAAACUGGGGCUAAUACCGGAUAGGAGCUCCUGCUGCAUGGUGGGGGUUGGAAAGUUUCGGCGGUUGGGGAUGGACUCGCGGCUUAUCAGCUUGUUGGUGGGGUAGUGGCUUACCAAGGCUUUGACGGGUAGCCGGCCUGAGAGGGUGACCGGCCACAUUGGGACUGAGAUACGGCCCAGACUCCUACGGGAGGCAGCGGAGGGGAAUAUUACACAAUGGGCGGAAGCCUGAUGCAGCAACGCCGCGUGCGGGAUGACGGCCUUCGGGUUGUAAACCGCUGUCGCCUGUGACGAAGCGUGAGUGACGGUAAUGGGUAAAGAAGCACCGGCUAACUACGUG